rnacentral:rRNA from 1 species
GAACGCUGGCGGCGUGCCUAAUACAUGCAAGUCGAACGGUCUUUCUAUGGAAGCUUGCUUCCACUGAGAAGAUAGUGGCGAACGGGUGAGUAACACGUGGGUAACCUGCCCAUAAGAGGGGGGAUAACAUCCGGAAACGGGUGCUAAUACCGCAUAGUUUUCUUGAUCGCAUGAUCGGGAAAGGAAAGACGGCCUUUGUGCUGUCGCUUAUGGAUGGACCCGCGGCGUAUUAGUUAGUUGGUGAGGUAACGGCUCACCAAGACGAUGAUACGUAGCCGACCUGAGAGGGUGAUCGGCCACAUUGGGACUGAGACACGGCCCAAACUCCUACGGGAGGCAGCAGUAGGGAAUCUUCCGCAAUGGACGAAAGUCUGACGGAGCGACGCCGCGUGAGUGAAGAAAGGUUUUCGGAUCGUAAAACUCUGUUGUCAGAGAAGAACAAGUUGGAGAGUAACUGCUCCAGCCUUGACGGUAUCUGACCAGAAAGCCACGGCUAACUACGUGCCAGCCGCUGC